rnacentral:misc_RNA from 1 species
GGAAGGAUCAUUACCACGUAUCCACGUACCCACCCUUCGUGCAUGGAAAUCUCCCUGAACAUUAUGUUUGGGCUACUUUUUCUAUCAUACAAACUUAUUUCACAAUUUGACAACUUCUAAAUUUUGCAAGUUGGCUUACAUUUGGAAAUAUGAAUUUCAUUAUUCAUUUUUCUAUUUUCUUAUUUUAAUCGAUAGGAAUAUCAUGUAAAUAACAACUCUUAGCAAUGGAUAUCUUGGCUCUCGCAACGAUGAAGAACGCAGCGAAAUGCGAUACGUAAUGCGAAUUGCAGAAUUCAGUGAAUCAUCAAAUCUUUGAACGCAAAUUGCGCUCUUGGGUAGGCCCGAGAGCACGCCUCUCUCAGUAUCGGUUUAAACUCCUCUCAGCAGCAUUGCUGGAAAAUGAGAGUCUGAUAAAAUUUUAUUAGUCUCUUGAAAAUGAAUGGAACUCUCAUACAAAAAUCCUCUCUUCUAUAUUUUUAUAGAUCAGACAUGAGUGACGUGAAUAAAAGGGCCUUUGUGCUCCUUUUUUACGUCUUAUCUUAUGUUUGUAUUAAUAUAAUCAUUUAUGAGUAUAGGAUUUGAGAGUUGUGAAUGAGAGUGUGUCAAAUAAAAGAAUUCAAAUAAUUUUAUUUCACCUUUCAAUUAACAUAUUCAAUACUUUGAUCUGAGAUGAAGUGAGAUUACCCCCUGAAUUUAAGCAUAUUAAUAAGGGGAGGAAAAGAAACUAACAAGGAUUCCCCUAGUAACGGCGAGUGAAGCGGGAAGAGCUCAAUGUGAAAAUCGGUCACCUAAGCGGGUGCUCGAAUUGUAGCCUAGAGACGUGUUGUCAGCGUGUGACCCAGGUAUAAGUCUUUUGGAAUAAGGCAUCAUAGAGGGUGAGAAUCCCGUUUUUCUGUGACUUGGAGUUCGCCGCGUACGACGCAUGUUCCUCGAGUCGAGUUGUUUGGGAUUGCAGCUCUAAAUGGGUGGUAAGUUUCAUCUAAAGCUAAAUAUUGGCGAGAGACCGAUAGCGAACAAGUACCGUGAGGGAAAGAUGAAAAGAACUUUGAAAAGAGAGUUAAACAGUACUUGAAAUUGCUAAGAGGGAAGCGCUGGAAACCAGUCAUAUAAUAAGAGUCAUUUUUCUAUUGGUCUCUGCUAUAUGAUUUAUAUCAUGGGUUAACCUGAUAUAGAUUAUAUGAAAGGAAGUUCAUUAGUUUCGUGAUUUUAUUAGGUCAGAAUCGAUUCAUAAUAUGGGAGAGGGUUGUAGAGAAGGUAGGGUGGUAUAGCAAUAUAUCACCUGUUAUAGCUCUAUGAUUGUACCAUAUCAUGGAUCGAGGAAGUAGUUAUGGUACGCUGCUUAGUGGCGUAGUAUCUUAUUCCUGCUGUGCUUCGAUGUGUUAUCGCAAUGCGAUGUUAUAUCAAAGGUAUAGUACUGGGUGAGAAUACUGUCUGUACCAUCACGAUUCUGACGAAAUGGUUUUCAUCGACCCGUCUUGAAACACGGACCAAGGAGUCUAACAUAUAUGCAAGUAUUUGGGUGGUAAACCCUGGUGCGUAAUGAAAGUAAAGGUAAUUUUCGGAUUACUGAGGUAGGAAUCUCUGUAAUGGAGAGGCACUAUCAACCGAUCCUCACUUGUGAAAGAUUUGAGUUAUAGCAUAUCUGUUGGGACCCGAAAGAUGGUGAUCUAUGCCUGAACAGGGUGAAGCCAGGGGAAACUCUGGUGGAGGCUCGUAGCGAUACUGACGUGCAAAUCGUUCGUCUGAUUUGGGUAUAGGGGCGAAAGACUAAUCGAACCAUCUAGUAGCUGGUUCCCUC